AAUCAUCUCCCUUCAAACAUAUAAGUAGGACAAUAUAAAAAAAAAAUGGAGAAAAUCUCAGCAUUUCUUGCCAUCCUCCUCCUGGUCUCGUCAUGCAUGGUGAAAGAGACUGUGACGCAGAAUAUUGUAGAAUGUAAAACAGAUGAAGAUUGUGUGAAGCAGAAGUAUAGCUGUCCGAUCUCAGGGGAUCCGCCAGUUUGCCUCGACUAUUUCUGUAGCUGUUUCCAUCAUGAAAUGCAUACUCCUGCAUCGACAAACUCCAACUCUUGAUGAUAUUCAUGUUGAUUUGAAUAAUGAAAAGGCUAUAUAUAUAACUCUUUCAUCGUUAUCUUCUCUCCAUGCAUCUUCCUUCUGAAAUGUAUCUCUAUAAUAAGUUAAUAACUAAUAUUGUCGUACUUGGCUAUGGGCCGCUGUAUUCCUUUUCCGGUUAUGUGCGGUUUUUAGCCGGUUUGGUUUUCUUUAAUUUUUACCUUCCUUUCAUCAUCAA